CAGAGUAAUUUCCUGCACUUAUUUCCUGCCAUUGAACGCAUCACAAAUGCAUGACUCCAACCACAUGACUUUGCUCAGCCAAUCGAAUGGCAUGUAGGUCAUAGUAAGCCUGUCCCGGCUUCCUCCCGUCAGAUGCGUGGAGGCAAGCCAGGUGACAGAGCUGUUGCAGAUGCUGAUUACUGUGAGCCAGAGCCAUAAUGUUGUUGUGCACUGAACAGAAUGGAAUUGGCCAGGUGAACCUUUUUUGGGUAUGGAAAAGGAUGGCGAGCCAAUGAACGGCUAGGAGCAGGACUCAUUCUGCAUUGAAGCUUCCACUGGACUGGUAGGAAGCUAUCAAAGGCGACGCUCUGUCCCGUAAUUUCCGAAUACACUGAUUUCCACAAUCAUACACACCAGUUCCCCCGUUUAUGGACAAUAGCGCUUGGACAUCUCUCAUGGAUAUUCAGAUAAAACUCAU